rfam:Trametes pubescens strain FBCC735 TRAPTBscaffold_722, whole genome shotgun sequence.
GGCCGCCUGGCGAAACGGCAUCGCGUCUGACUACGACCUCGGGUGUUUAACGUAGGUUCGACCCCUGCGGUGGUCA